CGCAAAAAACCCCCCUGAACUAUAGGGGCUUUGCAACUAACCCCCCUGAACUAAAAGAAACCCCCCUAAACUAUGAAUUUUUUGCAAUUUGCCCACUCAGGCCACUAGAAAAUAGGAGGACGAAACUGCCCUACCAAUAAAACGACGCAGUUUCAGAGUUGCAAGGCCGUGGAAAGGCUGAACACAGAGGUUAAACGAGCAUACGCGUAAUAGAUUGACCUUCAUCCACCAUCGACCCGAGCCUAAAGAAGGAGGCGCACGGCUGCGGACCGUCGGGAAGCCUGGCACAUAAGAAUUGGUCGUGUAAGAUCGCCAUCAACUGGGUUGUCAUCGACGGGCUCCGAGGAUCAACAACGGCCUUUGGGUUAGAGAAAUGGGGAAGUGGAGGAUUAUAAGGGCAACAGUGGACCAGAUGCAGCUAUCGCGACGAUGGUGGUGGUUGCGCCAUUAUCAAUCAAGUUGAGGGAUACAGAGAUUAAUUGGUCAAUGAUGAUAAGGAGUUCAGUGUUGUGAUGGUGGUUCGCCGCUGUGAGGAACUCGACAGACACCCACCGGUGAUGAGAACGGCGGCCAGGAUCCUCCUUUUCCAGCGAGAAGGCGGCGGUGAGCAGAAAGAGCACAACUUGGAGUGAUGUUUGUGAUACCAGCUGGUUGACUCGGAUGACAACGAUGAGGCUAGUUCGGAUCGGCGGUGGUAGCGAACAGCCCGGCGGUGGUGAUGGCUGUGAGUAGAUGGUGGGGGAAUGGCCCAGCGGUGGGCGACGGGAUUGGCCGUGGAGACUCGUUGGCGAGCUUUCGAGCAAGGUGGAAAGCUUUGGAGAGGAUGAACUUGGACGGUGGAGAGGACGGACGGUAGUGAGGACGGGCUCAGCAAGUUGAAUCGGUGGGUGGUGCACCGACGGUGCAGAAACGAGUUCGGUGAGAAAUUGGGUUUCUAAGUCUCUACUAUAAUGUGUUUGCCAUUGAUUUUGUUAUUUUUUUAUUUUAUUUUAUAUUUUUAUCACAGUUCAGCUCAAAAGUUGUGUGGUGUGGGGUGUUUUUUUUUUUUUUUUUUUUUUUUUUU